UGGGGAAUUUUGGACAAUGGGCGCAAGCCUGAUCCAGCAAUGCCGCGUGCAGGAUGAAGGCCUUUGGGUUGUAAACUGCUUUUGUACGGAGCGAAAAGGUCUGCCCUAAUACGGUGGGCUCAUGACGGUACCGUAAGAAUAAGCACCGGCUAACUACGUGCCAGCAGCCGCGGUAAUACGUAGGGUGCGAGCGUUAAUCGGAAUUACUGGGCGUAAAGCGUGCGCAGGCGGUUAUAUAAGACAGGUGUGAAAUCCCCGGGCUCAACCUGGGACCUGCAUUUGUGACUGUAUAGCUAGAGUACGGUAGAGGGGGAUGGAAUUCCGCGUGUAGCAGUGAAAUGCGUAGAUAUGCGGAGGAACACCGAUGGCGAAGGCAAUCCCCUGGACCUGUACUGACGCUCAUGCACGAAAGCGUGGGGAGCAAACA
rnacentral:rRNA from 1 species